GUUCACCAAAACAAACACUGUGAUGUCCUGCGAGGCUCCUAUGUUCAAUCCUCAUCAUGGUUCCUACCUUAAAGUAAGAACGCAGGAAUGUCUAUGAACCUCUUAGAAUCUCAAGGGGGUUGUGGGGCAUGAGAGUGGAGUCUGGUGAGCAAAUGAUUGAAGAAGCAGCUCAUGGAGAGCCUCUUCCCCAUCUGCCUGCUGAAUGAAGAAUCGGAGACAGAAGAAGCCUGAGUCCCUGAGUGACCAACUGCAUGGAAGGCCAUGCGAUGUCUUGGACUUCCAGGAAAUUGGGAACACCUUCUUAGAACUUCAUAUUGGCAAGAAAUCAGAUUGUAUUAGUUAAGUUGCUGAGAUUUCAGUUAUCUGUGACAGCAGUUAGCAUUCCCUAGUAUACACUUCCCUCUUCUCCAUUCUUUGCAAGUCUUAAGAGGUUAACAGAACUGAAUUCCAAUAUUAUCUUUUCUAAUUAGGUGUCAACUAUCACAUGAAUUAUGCCAGCUGAAAUAUGCCAUAACUUUGCAACUCUACAUGCCUGGGCAGAAAUUAGUCCAUGCCUUGUUAAUUCUGUAAUUAUGGAAUUCCAUAGAUAUAAAUAAAAGUUUUUUUAUCCCA